GAUGAACGCUGGCGGCGUGCCUAAUACAUGCAAGUCGAGCGAACGGACGAGAAGCUUGCUUCUCUGAUGUUAGCGGCGGACGGGUGAGUAACACGUGGAUAAACUACCUAUAAGACUGGGAUAACUUCGGGAAACCGGAGCUAAGACCGGAUAAUAUUUUGAACCGCAUGGUUCAAAAGUGAAAGACGGUCUUUCUGUGACUUAUAGAUGGAUCCGCGCUGCAUUAGCUAGUUGGUAAGGUAACGGCUUACCAAGGCAACGAUGCAUAGACGACCUGAGAGGGUGAACGGCCACACUGGCACUGAGAAUCGGUCGCGACUCCUGCGCGAGGCAGCAGCAGGGAAUCUUACGCAAUGGGCGAGAGCCUGACGGAGCACCGCCGCGUGAGUGAUGAUGGUCUUCGGCUCGUAAAACUCUGUUAUUAGGGAAGAACAUAUGUGUAAGUAACUGUGCUCAUCUUGACGGUACCGGAUCAGAAAGCCACGGCUAACUACGUG
rnacentral:rRNA from 1 species